UAUUUCUUGUUCUUCAACAUAUGAAAGCCUUGUAAAAUUAAACAGUUCGAUAAUAGAACAUGGCUUUCAUAUGUUGAAGAACAAGAAAUAUACAACCACCAGCUUUAGAAAGCCCUCGCACCUGGUAUUAACAAACAAUAGGGAUCAACAUAGGUCGUUGGGAAUAUGUAUAUGAUUACAACCAACUACUCUGGUUCAAGACGUAUCUGCUAAUAUAAAAAAUACCAAAUACCCGGAAUGACACAAAAAUUUGAUAUGAAGGCCCUAAUGAGAUGUGGCCGAUGCUAAAACUCUGAGCCUUGUGAUCUACAUUAAUUUGUAUGCAAUCCUUUUGAGCAUUAAUAUUUCCUUGUCAAGCACAAGGAAUCCAAGAUAUCAACAAUCAGUAGUGGAACAAUCUUAACUUAAUCCCCUUGGUUUGAAACCUGUCAGAUCCUGCCACUACUGAGCUUUGCUUCCUUCUUUGUUCUUCUAGGAGUGCCAGGGGCCGUCUGUGCAUCUGGGUCAUAUUUUUGUGAAGCAAGGUAAGUCAAAGCUGUAACCACAUCAGCUAUAACUGGUCUCAAAUUAGGCUGCUCCUGGACACACAUUGCUGCAAUAGCAAGAGCUUGGUACAAACCCCUUGGAGGAUACUGACCUUGAAGCAUUGGAUCAGCCAUUUGUGAGAAUUUUUUUCGGUCUUUGAGCAAGGGGCUUGCCCAAGCAACAAGAUUUUG
rnacentral:misc_RNA from 1 species